rnacentral:rRNA from 1 species
GGCGAACGGGUGAGUAACACGUGGGUGAUCUGCCCUGCACUUCGGGAUAAGCUUGGGAAACUGGGUCUAAUACCGGAUAGGAGCCAUCUUUAGUGUGGUGGCUGGAAAGUUUUUCGGUGUAGGAUGAGCUCGCGGCCUAUCAGCUUGUUGGUGGGGUAAUGGCCUACCAAGGCGGCGACGGGUAGCCGGCCUGAGAGGGUGUACGGCCACAUUGGGACUGAGAUACGGCCCAG